GUUAAAGUGGCAGAUUAGUGCAUUAGACUUAAACUCUAAACAUGAGUUUCCCUCCUUUAACU
rnacentral:tRNA from 1 species